CCCUGGUUAGCUCAGUUGGUAGAGCGUUGCACUGAAAAUGGGAAGGUCCCGGGUUCGGUACCCGGACCAGGCG
rfam:Ixodes scapularis strain Wikel colony gcontig_1107729052342, whole genome shotgun sequence.